CAGCUCCUGAUGAACUAGGCCAGAAGUCCAAGAAAAAGCAGGGAUAUUUCCAGCUCAGGCCUGAGGCUGUGAGAAGCUCGUGACCUCUCCCCAGGCAGUCGCAAGAUGGCCACGGUGGGCGGAGCUAGAGUUUUGGCGGGCUCUGAGUCCUCACAUCCCCGGGGCACGCGAAGCUGACACUUCUCCUCGUGACCUAGAAUUGGAAUGUCAUCCGUCUUCGAGCCACCAUGCCUCUUCUUCAAUUUGACAAGAGAAGAAUUAGAAACUUGGUGAAUUUACUAACAUCUUGACUGGAGAUGAAGC
rnacentral:lncRNA from 1 species